CAAAUUGAUUGAAGAAGUUGGCUUCUCGCCGGCAUAUGGUUUCUUGUACUACAGGAAGAAAUACCCGCGUGGCAGAUGCUAUUCUGACAUUGCUUCUGACCAUGAAAUACUUUGUGUUCAGUCUUCCCUGAAAGUUAGCAUAGGAAUACACAAUGUUUCUUCAGAAUGACACAGCACCAAAUCGAGGCAGCAGGUUGCCAUCGAAUUCCGCGGAAUAAAACUGACAUGUGGAUCAUACCUGGCCAAACGGGCCGGCCCGGCACGGCACGGCCCGGCCCAUCAUAAUCGUGCGUGGCCCGGCACGGCCCGCCAGGGCAUGAUUACUAUACGGGCCGUGCCGUGCCGGCCCGCGUGCUGUGCCCCCAGGCCCAGGCACGGCCCAGUUAGUAAACGGGCCGGCACGUUGGCCCGUUUAGCACGGUGGGCCACAUAUUUUCAGCCUGUUAUUUGACGCACUGAGCGUUUUUAGCCUAUUUUCACAUCUUGGGCCAUAUAUAGAUGUAUAAAAAAAUAAAAAAAUGUAAUCGGGCCGUGCCGUGCCGGCCCGCGUGCCCAGCCUCCAGGCCCAGGCACGGCCCAGGGCGUGCCGCGUGCCGAGCCCGGCCCGUUUAGCCCGUGCCGUGCCUGGCCCAAGGCGGGCCGUGCCGGCGUGCUCACGGGCCGGCCCGAAAAAACCGGCCCAUUUGGCCAGCUAUAAUGUGGAUGUGAUUAAUCACUUACCAAAGUACAAGUUCAUUCUCUGAUGAAAAAGGUCAGUGUUUGGGGCGCACUGCGUAGCAAGGAUAUGUUGUAGGCUAUAUAGCUCUUCUGUGGACUGUGAGAGGUUGGGGUUCUCAUGCUUGCUUGGUCGGAACCUUUUCUUUUGAGUCGAUUGAUGAACGAUGGGCAUGAGGGCAUCUCUGCACUAACUACGAUGUAUGUGUACUCCACUACAUACAGAUAGCUCGCUCGUCGUAUCUCGACAGAAGAAGAACAACUUUGAUCGAUGGAGAUGGAUUUCUUUCCUGUUGUUGCGAUUGUAUGUGCCUUGUCGACUAAACUAUCUUCUUUCUUAUUUACUGUCAGGUAGCUCUUUCAAAGAUAGCUCGCUCGUCGUAUCUCGACAGAAGAAGAACAACUUUGAUCGAUGGAGAUGGAUUUCUUUCCUGUUGGUGCGAUUCAGGGAAGCUAUUUGUGGUGUAAUAUGCAGCUAAAGGUAUUCCAGCAUGAGCUUCCAUGCACAACAUCAGUGCUUAAAGUAAAGGCUUCAGGACUUAAAAAUAACUUGAUUCUCUGCUCAUAACCAACUGCAGCAAGAAAUAAUUUCACAGCCACAGAUCGCGCCAAAGCAUAGCCAGCCUUGGUCCAAGGAGAUAGAGAAGUACUGACAAGGUGGCUCGUUCGCAAGUUGGAGCCGUCCAUGAGCUCACUGCUCUUGGUCGCUCACGGCAAAGAACUGCAUGUUGGCUGGGAUCUUGCCCAUGUAAUAUCUUCAGUACUGUAAUGGCAGAUUGUACUUUUGAUUACUUGAGCAAUUUUUUUUGGUGUUUAGGCCAUGCUUAUUGGGCCAAGAGGCGGACCCGUAUAAUGCCGACCCGCUAAAUGUGUU